AUUGAACGCUGGCGGCAGGCCUAACACAUGCAAGUCGAACGAGUGGCGGACGGGUGAGUAAUGUCUGGGAAACUGGCCGAUGGAGGGGGAUAACUACUGGAAACGGUAGCUAAUACCGCAUACCAUCGGAUGUGCCCAGAUGGGAUUAGCUAGUAGGUGGGGUAACGGCUCACCUAGGCGACGAUCCCUAGCUGGUCUGAGAGGAUGACCAGCCACACUGGAACUGAGACACGGUCCAGACUCCUACGGGAGGCAGCAGUGGGGAAUAUUGGGCAAUGGGCGAAAGCCUGAUCCAGCCAUGCCGCGUGUGUGAAGAAGGUCUUCGGAUUGUAAAGCACUUUAGUUUGAGAGGCGUUACCUACAGAGUAAGCACCGGCUAACUUCGUGCCAGCAGCCGCGGUAAUAC
rnacentral:rRNA from 1 species